AUUGAACGCUGGCGGCAGGCCUAACACAUGCAAGUCGAACGGUAACAGGAAGAAGCUUGCUUCUUUGCUGACGAGUGGCGGACGGGUGAGUAAUGUCUGGGAAACUGCCUGAUGGAGGGGGAUAACUACUGGAAACGGUAGCUAAUACCGCAUAACGUCGCAAGACCAAAGAGGGGGACCUUCGGGCCUCUUGCCAUCGGAUGUGCCCAGAUGGGAUUAGCUAGUAGGUGGGGUAACGGCUCACCUAGUCGACGAUCCCUAGCUGGUCUGAGAGGAUGACCAGCCACACUGGAACUGAGACACGGUCCAGACUCCUACGGGAGGCAGCAGUGGGGAAUAUUGGACAAUGGGGGCAAGCCUGAUGCAGCCAUGCCGCGUGUAUGAAGAAGGCCUUCGGGUUGUAAAGUACUUUCAGCGGGGAGGAAGGGAGUAAAGUUAAUACCUUUGCUCAUUGACGUUACCCGCAGAAGAAGCACCGGCUAACUCCGUG
rnacentral:rRNA from 1 species